GACGAACGCUGGCGGCGUGCUUAACACAUGCAAGUCGAACGGAAAGGCCCUGCUUUUGUGGGGUGCUCGAGUGGCGAACGGGUGAGUAACACGUGAGUAACCUGCCCUUGACUUUGGGAUAACUUCAGGAAACUGGGGCUAAUACCGGAUAGGAGCUCCUGCUGCAUGGUGUGGGUUGGAAAGUUUCGGCGGUUGGGGAUGGACUCGCGGCUUAUCAGCUUGUUGGUGGGGUAGUGGCUUACCAAGGCUUUGACGGGUAGCCGGCCUGAGAGGGUGACCGGCCACAUUGGGACUGAGAGACGGCCCAGACUCCUACGGGAGGCAGCAGUGGGGAAUAUUGCACAAUGGGCGGAAGCCUGAUGCAGCAACGCCGCGUGCGGGAUGACGGCCUUCGGGUUGUAAACCGCUUUCGCCUGUGACGAAGCGUGAGUGACGGUAAUGGGUAAAGAAGCACCGGCUAACUACGUG
rnacentral:rRNA from 1 species